CCAACUUGGCACUCCCGUGCAUUACAUCCACUUGGCUAUCGUACUCCAGGCGGAUUUCUGCCGUCGCCGUGAGGUUCGGUAUGAGUGAAAGCGUGUGAGGGCAUCUCCUGCUCUGUCUUUCUACGUUGAAGGCACAGCGUUAUUUGGGUGCUAUGGUGGGGAGUGGCUCCUGUGAGAAUGCCACGCAGCUCUUCGGCAGCAGGAAAUUCAGCUAGAAGUGCAGCGGCCACACUUCACAAGAAGAGAAUUGCUGCCAUGUGCUUCCGCUCCUUUUUUUUCCUUUCAUCAGCACAAGCUCAAACUCGGACAGCAUCUCAAUAAGCUAUUACAUUAGUUGUGACAGCUGUGAUGCAGCGACAUGUUUCCUGUGCCUAAAACUAGUUUGCUGGAUGAGCUUAGUGUUACUGGUUUGUGUGUGCAAUUGAAAAAAAUACCCUUACAUUCAGAUAUACGUAUAUAAUCAAGAGUCCAAGCUACUACUUUACAUGCUCUAAACAGGCACUGUACUCGCAACAUGGAGUUUAUCGUAGAUAUCACUGAAUGGAACAAGAAAUUGUGGUUUUAUUGCGAUAGAAAUUAUAUGGACACUCCAGGCGCAUUUCUGCCAUUGCCGUCGCCGUGAGGUUACGUAAAGUCCAAGGGCAACAAAAUCGUCGCCAUGCGCUGAUGCUGUAUGUGCGAGCGAAAGCAUACAAGGGUGAGCCGGCGAACGCGGCUCAAAUUUGCAUGUGCGAGCGAGGAAGGCAGGCCAGAAGCACGCCCUUAUAAAAACUAGGAACUUUAGUUGUACUGAUCUCGGUAUGUAUUUGAUGGCAUUUUACGUUCUUUGAAAAUUAAAACAAUCAUCUUGCUUGUUAAAUAGGAAAAAAACAUUCCUGCGCAUAGUACGCUGGCAUGCAGCACCUACAUAUAGAGUCUUGGAAACAAUUCUUCACUUCUCUGGCUUUAGAACUGAUGCAAGGCUAUUCCUCCAGUGCAGAAUUAGUGCAUGGUCCUCAUAAUUGGUAAACUCCUGUUCAAAGAUUUUACCAUCCUGAAUACUAUUAAGAGUGAUAAACGUUUGCUUCUCGAACCUGGAAAGAAGCAGUGGACAUGAUAUAAGUAUGUCACCUUCACAAGUGGCACAAUUGUGCUGGAUUCAUAAAUUUGUAACUGCCACUGAUGUCGCUAUAAAGGCAGUUUUUAAUUUAUAUACCACAAUGAAUGCGCCACAGUUCCACUCUAAAAUGGCUGUAGCAGCAUACAACGUGCGCUGCUUUCAACAGGCCUGUGAUCAAAGUGCAACGUUUGUCAUCAUGAAGCAGAACACGCCCAGUAGAUGGCACAUCUAACUUUUCUUAAUGCUCCAGGCUCUUUACAGUUGUUUGCUUUAUAAAACAUUAAUAAGCCCAAAAUUAGAAUAUGCUACAUCAGCAACAGUAUGAUACCCAUAACAUAAGCUUAACACAUUAGAACUACAGUCGAACAGCCGGAAUUUUUUAACAGCACGACAGAAUAUGUACCAACCAGCCUAAAUGGUCUCACUGCUGAUAUUACAAUUAGUUCAAAAUAAGUCUGCUGGUUUUAUUAAGGCGAAAGCCUUUCUAGGCUCAUGGUGAAGUUGUAUUGAACUCAGCAUUUUAUGUAAUACAUAAACAAAAAGCAGAAUGAAUGCACUUUUCACGCAUAACAGUUUAAUUAACGAGAUGUCUGUCAUAAAAAUGAUAUAAAUUGCCAGAAUAAAGUGUGCCUCUUCUACACAUAGGAAAGUAUAAAUUGCUCUGACGUUUACGACAAUAACGGCAGAUAUAGCAAUAAAAUUUUUCACUGAACAUGUAUUCUACUUAACAAUUUAAGAGCAAGCACUAUAGUUUGGUGCGCCGGGCUGCGGCCGCCGAUGUUCCAGGCUGGCUUGCGCCGUCGUCGCUCUCAGAGUCAAAGUCUGACGAAAAGACCGCACCCUCAAACUUGCUGCUGCUCGAUCCAUAGAUAAGACCAGCUGCAAACACAGCGGAAUAGCUAGAUCUGCCAUCUUUCGAAGUGGGCGCGCCGCUGCCAGAGGCGGCCAUGUUUGCUUUCUGCUCUAACGAUCACGAAAAUUCAGAGUGCGUUAAGAAAUUAACGCCUUGUGGGCAAAAAGCGAACUGCUUAGAAAACAAAAAUAUAGUUGUCCUCCUUCACGACCUAUGGUGCAGUGUGUCCAUGAGCAGCGUAGAAGGUCUCGAAAGCGGCGUUUCAAACCACUGAUAGCGGGCGGCCAUUUUUGCUUUAAUCCAUAAUCUAAAAACUUUAGAGCGCGUUCAAAAAUCACUGCCUGGGGCGAAAAAGCGAAUUGCUUAGAAAACAAAAGAAUAGGACUCCUAUUUUACAUUCGAUAGCGCAGUGUCUCCGUGGGCAGCACGUAGUCUCGAAACUGGUGUUUCAAACCAUUGUUAGCAGGCUAAUGAUGUCCAAUGGGCAUGGUACGUAGAGCUAAAUAGCAAUAUUAUGAACUUGUAACAGAUCAGCCAUUUUAGUGGUUUAUUUUCUUCUUUGUUCUGCAUCAACUUUUAUUUUUAAAAGAUUUUUUUAAACAUUUCUCUAAAUUUCUCUUAUGUGACAAUAAACCUCCAAGAAGUAGAGUGGUA